rnacentral:rRNA from 1 species
GCACAAGCGGUGGAUGAUGUGGUUUAAUUCGAUGCAACGCGAAAACCUUACCACCUUUGACAUGGCAGGAAUCCUAAAGAGAUUUGGGAGUGCUCGAAAGAGAACCUGCACACAGGUGCUGCAUGGCUGUCGUCAGCUCGUGUCGUGAGAUGUUGGGUUAAGUCCCGCAACGAGCGCAACCCUUGCCAUUAGUUGCUACGAAAGGGCACUCUAAUGGGACUGCCGGUGACAAACCGGAGGAAGGUGGGGAUGACGUCAAGUCCUCAUGGCCCUUAUGGGUAGGGCUUCACACGUCAUACAAUGGUCGGUACAGAGGGUUGCCAAGCCGCGAGGCGGAGCCAAUCCCACAAAGCCGAUCGUAGUCCGGAUUGUUCUCUGCAACUCGAGAGCAUGAAGUCGGAAUCGCUAGUAAUCGCAGGUCAGCAUACUGCGGUGAAUACGUUCCCGGGUCUU